ACUAAGCGUACACGGUGGAUGCCCUGGCAGUCAGAGGCGAUGAAGGACGUGCUAAUCUGCGAUAAGCGUCGGUGAGGUGAUAUGAACCGUUAUAACCGGCGAUUUCCGAAUGGGGAAACCCAGUGUGUUUCGACACACUAUCAUUAACUGAAUCCAUAGGUUAAUGAGGCGAACCGGGGGAACUGAAACAUCUAAGUACCCCGAGGAAAAGAAAUCAACCGAGAUUCCCCCAGUAGCGGCGAGCGAACGGGGAGGAGCCCAGAGCCUGAAUCAGUGUGUGUGUUAGUGGAAGCGUCUGGAAAGGCGCGCGAUACAGGGUGACAGCCCCGUACACAAAAAUACACAUAUUGUGAGCUCGAUGAGUAGGGCGGGACACGUGGUAUCCUGUCUGAAUAUGGGGGGACCAUCCUCCAAGGCUAAAUACUCCUGACUGACCGAUAGUGAACCAGUACCGUGAGGGAAAGGCGAAAAGAACCCCGGCGAGGGGAGUGAAAAAGAACCUGAAACCGUGUACGUACAAGCAGUGGGAGCCUCUUUAUGGGGUGACUGCGUACCUUUUGUAUAAUGGGUCAGCGACUUAUAUUCUGUAGCAAGGUUAACCGAAUAGGGGAGCCGAAGGGAAACCGAGUCUUAACUGGGCGUUAAGUUGCAGGGUAUAGACCCGAAACCCGGUGAUCUAGCCAUGGGCAGGUUGAAGGUUGGGUAACACUAACUGGAGGACCGAACCGACUAAUGUUGAAAAAUUAGCGGAUGACUUGUGGCUGGGGGUGAAAGGCCAAUCAAACCGGGAGAUAGCUGGUUCUCCCCGAAAGCUAUUUAGGUAGCGCCUCGUGAAUUCAUCUCCGGGGGUAGAGCACUGUUUCGGCAAGGGGGUCAUCCCGACUUACCAACCCGAUGCAAACUGCGAAUACCGGAGAAUGUUAUCACGGGAGACACACGGCGGGUGCUAACGUCCGUCGUGAAGAGGGAAACAACCCAGACCGCCAGCUAAGGUCCCAAAGUCAUGGUUAAGUGGGAAACGAUGUGGGAAGGCCCAGACAGCCAGGAUGUUGGCUUAGAAGCAGCCAUCAUUUAAAGAAAGCGUAAUAGCUCACUGGUCGAGUCGGCCUGCGCGGAAGAUGUAACGGGGCUAAACCAUGCACCGAAGCUGCGGCAGCGACACUAUGUGUUGUUGGGUAGGGGAGCGUUCUGUAAGCCUGUGAAGGUGGCCUGUGAGGGUUGCUGGAGGUAUCAGAAGUGCGAAUGCUGACAUAAGUAACGAUAAAGCGGGUGAAAAGCCCGCUCGCCGGAAGACCAAGGGUUCCUGUCCAACGUUAAUCGGGGCAGGGUGAGUCGACCCCUAAGGCGAGGCCGAAAGGCGUAGUCGAUGGGAAACAGGUUAAUAUUCCUGUACUUGGUGUUACUGCGAAGGGGGGACGGAGAAGGCUAUGUUGGCCGGGCGACGGUUGUCCCGGUUUAAGCGUGUAGGCUGGUUUUCCAGGCAAAUCCGGAAAACCAAGGCUGAGGCGUGAUGACGAGGCACUACGGUGCUGAAGCGACAAAUGCCCUGCUUCCAGGAAAAGCCUCUAAGCAUCAGGUAACAUCAAAUCGUACCCCAAACCGACACAGGUGGUCAGGUAGAGAAUACCAAGGCGCUUGAGAGAACUCGGGUGAAGGAACUAGGCAAAAUGGUGCCGUAACUUCGGGAGAAGGCACGCUGAUAUGUAGGUGAAGCGACUUGCUCGUGGAGCUGAAAUCAGUCGAAGAUACCAGCUGGCUGCAACUGUUUAUUAAAAACACAGCACUGUGCAAACACGAAAGUGGACGUAUACGGUGUGACGCCUGCCCGGUGCCGGAAGGUUAAUUGAUGGGGUUAGCGGUAACGCGAAGCUCUUGAUCGAAGCCCCGGUAAACGGCGGCCGUAACUAUAACGGUCCUAAGGUAGCGAAAUUCCUUGUCGGGUAAGUUCCGACCUGCACGAAUGGCGUAAUGAUGGCCAGGCUGUCUCCACCCGAGACUCAGUGAAAUUGAACUCGCUGUGAAGAUGCAGUGUACCCGCGGCAAGACGGAAAGACCCCGUGAACCUUUACUAUAGCUUGACACUGAACAUUGAGCCUUGAUGUGUAGGAUAGGUGGGAGGCUUUGAAGUGUGGACGCCAGUCUGCAUGGAGCCGACCUUGAAAUACCACCCUUUAAUGUUUGAUGUUCUAACGUUGGCCCGUAAUCCGGGUUGCGGACAGUGUCUGGUGGGUAGUUUGACUGGGGCGGUCUCCUCCUAAAGAGUAACGGAGGAGCACGAAGGUUGGCUAAUCCUGGUCGGACAUCAGGAGGUUAGUGCAAUGGCAUAAGCCAGCUUGACUGCGAGCGUGACGGCGCGAGCAGGUGCGAAAGCAGGUCAUAGUGAUCCGGUGGUUCUGAAUGGAAGGGCCAUCGCUCAACGGAUAAAAGGUACUCCGGGGAUAACAGGCUGAUACCGCCCAAGAGUUCAUAUCGACGGCGGUGUUUGGCACCUCGAUGUCGGCUCAUCACAUCCUGGGGCUGAAGUAGGUCCCAAGGGUAUGGCUGUUCGCCAUUUAAAGUGGUACGCGAGCUGGGUUUAGAACGUCGUGAGACAGUUCGGUCCCUAUCUGCCGUGGGCGCUGGAGAACUGAGGGGGGCUGCUCCUAGUACGAGAGGACCGGAGUGGACGCAUCACUGGUGUUCGGGUUGUCAUGCCAAUGGCACUGCCCGGUAGCUAAAUGCGGAAGAGAUAAGUGCUGAAAGCAUCUAAGCACGAAACUUGCCCCGAGAUGAGUUCUCCCUGAGACUUAGAGUCUCCUGAAGGAACGUUGAAGACGACGACGUUGAUAGGCCGGGUGUGUAAGCGCAGCGAUGCGUUGAGCUAACCGGUACUAAUGAACCGUGAGGCUUAACC
rnacentral:rRNA from 1 species